GGUGGCUCAGUGGUAGAGCGCUUGCCUCGCAUGCAUGAGGCCCUGGGUUCAAUUCCUCUAGCACCA
rnacentral:tRNA from 1 species